rnacentral:lncRNA from 1 species
ACAUUUUGCAUUUUUAUUCUUCAGAUCCUCCACGUCUCUACAGAAACAUCCAUUUGGGUGUGAGCAAAGGUUUAGUUCCCACAGCCGUGCGUGGGCCUCCCGUGUUCAAGCCCAUUAAAACAAAGAGUGAAGGAGAUCUGCUGGCACCAGGCCCUGUGCAAAGCUCACUGGGGCUGAUGAGUUUUCCUGAUAACUUUGAGGACUUUGGACCCUGCCCUUUGGCACUUGUGCCUGAGUGCCCUCAGAAGGGAUUUAUGCCCUGUGGGAGAAUCACUUACAGGCUCUCUCACAGCGUAUGGAGGGAUGUGCUGGCCUGAAUCUGCUUCAGGAUGCAUUUGUGCUGGGGAUGGUUUGGAUCUGUUUGGAUCAUUUGUGCCAAGACAGAGAAACAGCAAAAGCAUCAUGCUCUGAAUGCUCAUUGGAAGGAUUUUGCUCUUGCCAAUUUCAGACUAGUUUCCAACCAGCUUCUGCCAUGGAAGGUUUUGUUUGGAAGCACCAUUCCACAAGGAAAACAAUUGUGUUUUUGCUUGAAAUUGCACAGUUCUCCAUAUUUCCUUAUCUUUAGCUAAGUGGCCAUCACCUCCUAAUUAUAGUUUCCUCUUUUUUUAACUACUGUGCUCAAUUUACAGCCUCUCUAAUUACUCUUACCUUGUUUGUUUAAUGAAGCUUAUAUAAUGAUUCCUGUGAUCUUCAUGAAACGUUACGCUGGGAUUUUACUUUUCACUUUAUAAACUGCGAUUUUAUAUUAAUGUUUUUAACCUCAGGUUUCUAAUCAUAAAGUCAUAAGGAGUUUAAUUGAUUUGAAACUAGCCAUGCCCUGAAGUGUGUACAUGUCAGAUUGAUUCAAAUUGAUCCAACGUGUUUAAAUAAAACUCAUGCCAAAAGCCCGUCGCA